UGCGCGAAGCUGGGUGCCCCGGAGAGUCUGACCACCAUGCCACCUCCUCGCCUCCUCUUCUUCCUCCUCUUCCUCACCCCCAUGGAAGUCAGGCCCGAGGAACCUCUAGUGGUGAAGGUGGAAGAGGGAGAUAACGCUGUGCUGCAGUGCCUCAAGGGGACCUCAGAUGGCCCCACUCAGCAGCUGACUUGGUUUCGGGAGUCCCCGUUUAAACCCUUCUUAAAACUCAGCCUGGGGCUGCCAGGCCUGGGAAUCCACAUGAGGCCCCUGGCCAUCUGGCUUUUCAUCUUCAACGUCUCUCAACAGAUGGGGGGCUUCUACCUGUGCCAGCAGGGGCCCCCCUCUGAGAAGGCCUGGCAGCCUGGCUGGACAGUCAGUGUGGAGGGCAGCGGUGAGGGCCGGGCUGGGGCAGGGGCAGGAGGAGAGAAGGGAGGCCACCGUGGACAGAAGAGGUCCGCGGCCACAAUAGAGCUGGAGAGGGGCUGGAGGGAUUGAGGGCGAAACUCGGAGCUAGGUGGGCGGACUCCUGGGGCUUCGUGGCUUCAGUAUGAGCUGCUUCCCGUCCCUCUACUUCUCACUGUCUUCUCUCUGUCUGUGGGUCUUUGUGUCUAUUUAUGUCUGUCUUUGAGUCUCUAUCUCUCUCCCUCUCCUGGGUGUCUCUGCAUUUGGUUCUGGGUCUCUUCCCAGGGGAGCUGUUCCGGUGGAAUGUUUCGGACCUAGGUGGCCUGGGCUGUGGCCUGAAGAACAGGUCCUCAGAGGGCCCCAGCUCCCCUUCCGGGAAGCUCAUGAGCCCCAAGCUGUAUGUGUGGGCCAAAGACCGCCCUAAGAUCUGGGAGGGAGAGCCUCCAUGUGGCCCACCAAGGGACAGCCUGAACCAGAGCCUCAGCCAGGACCUCACCAUGGCCCCUGGCUCCACACUCUGGCUGUCCUGUGGGGUACCCCCUGACUCUGUGUCCAGGGGCCCCCUCUCCUGGACCCAUGUGCACCCCGAGGGGCGUAAGUCCUCAUUGCUGAGCCUAGAGCUGAAGGACGAUCGCCCGGCCAGAGAUAUGUGGGUAAUGGAGACGGGUCUGUUGUUGCCCCGGGCCACAGCUCAAGACGCUGGAAAGUAUUAUUGUCACCGUGGCAACCUGACCAUGUCAUUCUACCUGGAGAUCACUGCUCGGCCAGUACUAUGGCACUGGCUGCUGAGGACUGGUGGCUGGAAGGUCUCAGCUGUGACUUUGGCUUAUCUGAUCUUCUGCCUGUGUUCCCUUGUGGGCAUUCUUCAUCUUCAAAGAGCCCUGGUCCUGAGGAGGAAAAGAAAGCGAAUGACUGACCCCACCAGGAGAUUCUUCAAAGUGACGCCUCCCCCAGGAAGCGGGCCCCAGAACCAGUACGGGAACGUGCUGUCUCUCCCCACACCCACCUCAGGCCUCGGACGCGCCCAGCGUUGGGCCGCAGGCCUGGGGGGCACUGCCCCGUCUUAUGGAAACCCGAGCAGCGACGUCCAGGCGGAUGGAGCCGUGGGGUCCCGGAGCCCGCCGGGAGUGGGCCCAGAAGAAGAGGAAGGGGAGGGCUAUGAGGAACCUGACAGUGAGGAGGGCUCCGAGUUCUAUGAGAACGACUCCAACCUUGGGCAGGACCAGCUCUCCCAGGGUAAGGCUGCCCUCCCCCGUGGCCCCCCACCUCUGCGGUGGCCUGUGGACUCCCAUGGACACCCCUCCUUCUCCACCAGAUGGCAGUGGCUAUGAGAACCCUGAGGAUGAGCCCCUGGGUCCUGAGGAUGAAGACUCCUUCUCCAACGGUAACUUGGGGCCUUUGUGGGACCUCAGAGACUUAGGUGUAAUUGCAGCGCUGUGACACCCCUAGAAGGGGUCCCUGGAGUUCUCUCUCUUCUGCCACAGCUGAGUCUUACGAGAACGAGGAUGAAGAGCUGACCCAGCCGGUCGCCAGGACAAUGGACUUCCUGAGCCCUCAUGGGUCAGCCUGGGACCCCAGCCGGGAAGCAACCUCCCUGGGGUCCCAGUCCUACGAGGAUAUGAGAGGAAUCCUGUAUGCAGCCCCCCAGCUCCGCUCCAUUCGGGGCCAGCCUGGACCCAAUCAUGAGGAAGAUGCAGACUCUUAUGAGAACAUGGAUAAUCCCGACGGGCCAGACCCAGCCUGGGGAGGAGGGGGCCGCAUGGGCACCUGGAGCACCAGGUGAUCCUCAGGUGGCCAGCCUGGAUCUCCUCAAGUCCCCAAGAUCCACACCUGACUCUGAAAUCUGAAGACCUCGAGCAGAUGAUGCCAACCUCUGGACCAAUGUUGCUUAGGAUGUGUGCAUGUGUGUAUAUGUGUGUGUGUGUGUAUAUACAUGCCAGUGACACUUCCAGUCCUUAAAUAAACUCAAUGAGCUCUUCCAA
rnacentral:sRNA from 1 species